GUGCACCAGUCGAGAAUCUUCCGCAAUGGGCGAAAGCCUGACGGAGCGACGCCGCGUGACCGAAGACGCCCUUCGGGGUGUAAAGGUCUUUUCUAGGGGACCAAUAUCCCGAUUUAUCGGGGUGAGUGUACCCUAGGAAUAAGGGGCCGCCAAACUCGUGCCAGGCAGCGGCGGUAAGACGAGUGCCCCAAGCGUUAUCCGGAAUUACUGGGGCGUAAAGCGUCUGUAAGGGGGUUUGAUAAGUCUCCUGUCAAAUUCCGAUGCUCAACAUCGGGAACCGCAGGAGAAACUAUCAAACUAGAGGGUGCGAGAGGCUGAUGGAACUCAGGGAGUAGGGGUGAAAUCCGUU
rnacentral:rRNA from 1 species